GACAGAGGGUGCAAGCGUUGCUCGGAAUUACUGGGCGUAAAGGGCGCGUAGGCGGUCCGCUAAGUUCGGUGUGAAAGCCCCCGGCUCACCUGGGGAACUGCGCCGGAAACCGACAGACUCGAGUACCGGAGAGGAGGGUGGAAUUCCUGGUGUAGCGGUGAAAUGCGUAGAUAUCAGGAGGAACACCGGUGGCGAAGGCGGCCCUCUGGACGGAUACUGACGCUGAGGCGCGAAAGCGUGGGGAUCAAACAGG
rnacentral:rRNA from 1 species